CGGAGUUGCUAGUAAUCGCAAAUCAGAAUGUUGCGGUGAAUACGUUCCCGGGCCUUGUACACACCGCCCGUCACACCAUGAGAGUUGCCAACACCCGAAGUCCGUGAGCUAACCUUUUGGAGGCAGCGGCCGAAGGUGGGGGUAGCGAUUGGGGUGAAGUCGUAAC
rnacentral:rRNA from 1 species